rnacentral:rRNA from 1 species
AACGAACGCUGGCGGCAUGCCUAACACAUGCAAGUCGAACGAGACCUUCGGGUCUAGUGGCGCACGGGUGCGUAACGCGUGGGAAUCUGCCCUUUGCUUCGGAAUAACAGUUAGAAAUGACUGCUAAUACCGGAUGAUGUCUUCGGACCAAAGAUUUAUCGGCAAAGGAUGAGCCCGCGUAGGAUUAGGUAGUUGGUGGGGUAAAGGCCUACCAAGCCGACGAUCCUUAGCUGGUCUGAGAGGAUGAUCAGCCACACUGGGACUGAGACACGGCCCAGACUCCUACGGGAGGCAGCAGUGGGGAAUAUUGGACAAUGGCGCAAGCCUGAUCCAGCAAUGCCGCGUGAGUGAUGAA